rnacentral:rRNA from 1 species
GUGAGGAAUAUUGGUCAAUGGGCGGGAGCCUGAACCAGCCAAGUCGCGUGAAGGAAGAAGGAUCUAUGGUUCGUAAACUUCUUUUGCAGGGGAAUAAAGUGCAGGACGUGUCCUGUUUUGUAUGUACCCUGAGAAUAAGGAUCGGCUAACUCCGUGCCAGCAGCCGCGGUAAUACGGAGGAUCCGAGCGUUAUCCGGAUUUAUUGGGUUUAAAGGGUGCGUAGGUGGUUUGAUAAGUCAGCGGUGAAAGUUUGCAGCUUAACUGUAAAAAUGCCGAUGAAACUGUCGGACUUGAGUGUAAAUGAGGUAGGCGGAAUGCGUGGUGUAGCGGUGAAAUGCAUAGAUAUCACGCAGAACUCCGAUUGCGAAGGCAGCUUACUAAGCUACAACUGACACUGAAGCACGAAAGCGUGGGGAUCAAACAGGAUUAGAAACCCCUGUAGUCC